UAAACAUGCAAGUCGAGCGGUAACAGGGGUAGCUUGCUACCCGCUGACGAGCGGCGGACGGGUGAGUAAUGCAUAGGAAUCUGCCCGAUAGUGGGGGAUAACCUGGGGAAACCCAGGCUAAUACCGCAUACGUCCUACGGGAGAAAGGGGGCUUCGGCUCCCGCUAUUGGAUGAGCCUAUGUCGGAUUAGCUAGUUGGUGAGGUAAAGGCUCACCAAGGCGACGAUCCGUAGCUGGUCUGAGAGGAUGAUCAGCCACAUCGGGACUGAGACACGGCCCGAACUCCUACGGGAGGCAGCAGUGGGGAAUAUUGGACAAUGGGCGAAAGCCUGAUCCAGCCAUGCCGCGUGUGUGAAGAAGGCCCUCGGGUUGUAAAGCACUUUCAGCGAGGAAGAACGCCUAGUGGUUAAUACCCAUUAGGAAAGACAUCACUCGCAGAAGAAGCACCGGCUAACUCCGUGCCAGCAGCCGCGGUAAUACGGAGGGUGCAAGCGUUAAUCGGAAUUACUGGGCGUAAAGCGCGCGUAGGUGGCUUGAUAAGCCGGUUGUGAAAGCCCCGGGCUCAACCUGGGAACGGCAUCCGGAACUGUCAAGCUAGAGUGCAGGAGAGGAAGGUAGAAUUCCCGGUGUAGCGGUGAAAUGCGUAGAGAUCGGGAGGAAUACCAGUGGCGAAGGCGGCCUUCUGGACUGACACUGACAC
rnacentral:rRNA from 1 species